AAUGUAGCUUAUAUUGCAAAAAAUGUUCUUAUAUUAAUAUAAGAAAUAAGAACAUUUUAUUUUUGAAAAAAUGUUCUUAUAUCCAACCCUGGUCGAGCUUAGUGUUACACACUGUGUCAGUUCCAGGCAGUUCCAUCAAACAUUUCUUACAAAUCCUCCAAAACUUGGAAUUUACCUAUGGAAAAUUCCUACUGUGAUAUACGAAAACUUUGAUAGUGCAAACCAGUCUUAAGCCGGUUACAGAUGAGCAAGUUUUCAACAAACAAAACUUGUCAAAGUAAUCUGAGCUGCAUGCAGUUGGUCACUGAUCUAUAGUUGUAAUAAUGUAAUGGGUAAGCCAUGUAAUUCCGAUUUAUCAUCAGUGCCUACAUCCAUAAUUUUUUG